AACCCAAAAAAACUCUAGCCAUGUCAAGUCCACCACAUUUUGUAUAAAUUGCACGACUAUGAAUCCUUGACAAAACAUGUUUUCUUGGCUUAGUCUUUACACUAUCCUUUAAUCUUACACUUUGCAUACAAAGUGUAAGAUUGUCAACCACAAAAGGAUAACAUGUCAGUAACUGCCCCUCGAAAGUGAUUGUUCUCUUUUUUCCUUAAAAUUUGCAUAUUAACUGAGAUUCUUGAAAAUUAUUUCUAUUUUUUUAUUGCAGCAGAUCUAAAAAGGGUCGACAUUCCAAGAAACAAUAGGCCUUUCAGACAUUUCAUCGAGCAACUUACACCCAUCUAAAAUAUUUUUGCACAAAUCAAAAUCCAAACCAUCCACAUAAACAUAAAAAAAAAAAAUCAAACCAUCCACAUCAAAUAUAAUUGCUGAAAACUAUACUUGACGAAACACGUGAAAGAUCAAUGGAAAAGGCAGCUAAAUUUGGGAACUAUUAUAAGUAGCAAUGCCCAAAUAGAAAAGAUAAAAAAUAAUCACAUAUUUGAAUUGAAAACCUUAACACAUUUUCAUUGAAGCAUUUAUUCAAAUACAUACAAUGCAUCUAUUAUAAACAAAAAGAAAACCAUAACAGAUAGUUGCAAAUACAGAGGUCUACUUGAAACAAUGGAAGAGGUGGUUGGAAAUUUCAAAGAUGUUUAAUUAGGGUAUGGAGAUGAGUUGGUUGGUGGUGUUUUGAAUUUAAUUGUCAUCAUAAUGUUCGACUUAUUUACCCAAAGAAGCCACACAUAAACAUAAGCAGGCAAAAACAAAGUUAUGCACCUGCUAAUGUUAUGCUUAAAACCAAGUCCGAGUUGUGUAGCAACUUUAAGAAAACAGAGGUUUAAUGUUCAAUUCAAGUGACUUUAAUUCAAGCCAGUGUUGAAUAUGCUUCAGUAGAAUUCCUUUCUUGUGAAAUUUGUCGCUGAUUUGGCUAAUUUUUAUGGUGUGUUUUCAUGCAACGCAAAUUGCAGGAACCAAUAAUUCCAGAUUUGCUCUCAAUAAAUAUGAGUCGUUAUUGGAAAACUCAUGUUCAUUCUUCACUAAUUGUUGCAAAAACUAAGGAAUUUAACUCUUGGAUUCAAUAGAAAAUAAGGGAAGAUGUUUUCUUAAUUUAUCAAAGUUCCUGCGCCGUUGGAAAGCUCCUGCGCCUGAUCUGUUGAAGCUUAAUUCUGAUCCAGCAACUGAUGAAGAAGCGGCAGCUGCGGGCUUGGGAGUGAUUAUCCGGAAUGAAGAUGGUCUGAUUAUGGUGUCAGCCGCGAAGAAAGUUCAGGCCGUUUAGAGUGUUGCUAUCGGUGAAAGCUUGACUUGACUAUCUAUUUUGGGCUCUGCAUUACUCUGGACUGCAGGUUCCGGAAUUUGAUUGUCGAAAGCGAUUCUCUUUCGGUUAUCCAAAUGCUUCAGAAUGGGCAAACUGAUCAUACCCGCCAAGGUCUAGUUUUGGAUGAUAUCACUAGUCUAGUUCCUUUUUUGCCUACUUAGAUAUAUGAUUUAACUGGAGACAGGUCGUUUGAUUACCAUCUUCAAUAGUCUCUUGUCAAAAAUUAUGAGCUCAGACGAGAUGAUCAUCAGAGGUGGAAACUUGAAGAAAACAGAGGUUUAAUGUCCAGAGCCUCUCCGCCUAUGAAAAUUAUGAUUAUUAUUCAGGAAAUUUGUGUCCUUCCCCUUGUCCAUUGGGACUUCCUACCUUGUGGAGUAGAUUGUAGUGAAGGAUCUGUUUGGCCAAUGUUGAAUAUGCAUAAUUUGUAACCACAUUGUUCGGCAGAAAUGCUUUCUUGUCAAAAUUUGUUCAAUCAAACAUUUCUGAAUUUUCUA